rnacentral:rRNA from 1 species
UGGCGACCGGCGCACGGGUGAGUAACACGUAUCCAACCUGCCGAUGACUCGGGGGAUAGCCUUUCGAAAGAGAGAUUAAUACCCGAUGGCAUAGUUCUUCCGCAUGGUAGAACUAUUAAAGAAUUUCGGUCAUCGAUGGGGAUGCGUUCCAUUAGGUUGUUGGCGGGGUAACGGCCCACCAAGCCUUCGAUGGAUAGGGGUUCUGAGAGGAAGGUCCCCCACAUUGGAACUGAGACACGGUCCAAACUCCUACGGGAGGCAGCAUG